UACGUAGGUGGCAAGCGUUGUCCGGAAUUAUUGGCGUAAAGCGCGCGCAGGUGGUUUCUUAAGUCUGAUGUGAAAGCCCACGGCUCAACCGUGGAGGGUCAUUGGAAACUGGGGAACUUGAGUGCAGGAGAGAAGAGUGGAAUUCCACGUGUAGCGGUGAAAUGCGUAGAGAUGUGGAGGAACACCAGUGGCGAAGGCGACUCUUUGGCCUGUAACUGACCACUGAGGCGCGAAAGCCAGGGGAGCAAACGGG
rnacentral:rRNA from 1 species